rnacentral:rRNA from 1 species
UACAGAGGGGGCUAGCGUUAUUCGGAAUUAUUGGGCGUAAAGGGCGCGUAGGCGGCCAUGCGUGUCUUCCGUGAAAUCCCUCGGCUUAACUGAGGACGUGCGGAAGAAACUGCAAGGCUCGAGUCCGGGAGAGGGGGGGUGGAAUUCCCAGUGUAGCGGUGAAAUGCGUAGAUAUUGGGAGGAACACCGGUGGCGAAGGCGGCCCCCUGGACCGGUACUGACGCUGAGGCGCGAAAAGCGUGGGUAGCAAACGGG